AUGAGGCGAACCGGGGGAACUGAAACAUCUAAGUACCCCGAGGAAAAGAAAUCAACCGAGAUUCCCCCAGUAGCGGCGAGCGAACGGGGAGCAGCCCAGAGCCUGAAUCAGUAUGUGUGUUAGUGGAAGCGUCUGGAAAGGCGCGCGAUACAGGGUGACAGCCCCGUACACAAAAAUGCACAUAUUGUGAGCUCGAUGAGUAGGGCGGGACACGUGGUAUCCUGUCUGAAUAUGGGGGGACCAUCCUCCAAGGCUAAAUACUCCUGACUGACCGAUAGUGAACCAGUACCGUGAGGGAAAGGCGAAAAGAACCCCGGCGAGGGGAGUGAAAAAGAACCUGAAACCGUGUACGUACAAGCAGUGGGAGCACGCUUAGGCGUGUGACUGCGUACCUUUUGUAUAAUGGGUCAGCGACUUAUAUUCUGUAGCAAGGUUAACCGAAUAGGGGAGCCGAAGGGAAACCGAGUCUUAACUGGGCGUUAAGUUGCAGGGUAUAGACCCGAAACCCGGUGAUCUAGCCAUGGGCAGGUUGAAGGUUGGGUAACACUAACUGGAGGACCGAACCGACUAAUGUUGAAAAAUUAGCGGAUGACUUGUGGCUGGGGGUGAAAGGCCAAUCAAACCGGGAGAUAGCUGGUUCUCCCCGAAAGCUAUUUAGGUAGCGCCUCGUGAAUUCAUCUCCGGGGGUAGAGCACUGUUUCGGCAAGGGGGUCAUCCCGACUUACCAACCCGAUGCAAACUGCGAAUACCGGAGAAUGUUAUCACGGGAGACACACGGCGGGUGCUAACGUCCGUCGUGAAGAGGGAAACAACCCAGACCGCCAGCUAAGGUCCCAAAGUCAUGGUUAAGUGGGAAACGAUGUGGGAAGGCCCAGACAGCCAGGAUGUUGGCUUAGAAGCAGCCAUCAUUUAAAGAAAGCGUAAUAGCUCACUGGUCGAGUCGGCCUGCGCGGAAGAUGUAACGGGGCUAAACCAUGCACCGAAGCUGCGGCAGCGACACUAUGUGUUGUUGGGUAGGGGAGCGUUCUGUAAGCCUGUGAAGGUGGCCUGUGAGGGUUGCUGGAGGUAUCAGAAGUGCGAAUGCUGACAUAAGUAACGAUAAAGCGGGUGAAAAGCCCGCUCGCCGGAAGACCAAGGGUUCCUGUCCAACGUUAAU
rnacentral:rRNA from 1 species